CAGCCGCCACGGUAAUACAGAGGGUGCGAGCGUUAAUCGGAUUUACUGGGCGUAAAGCGUGCGUAGGCGGCUUCUUAAGUCGGAUGUGAAAUCCCUGAGCUUAACUUAGGAAUUGCAUUCGAUACUGGGAAGCUAGAGUAUGGGAGAGGAUGGUAGAAUUCCAGGUGUAGCGGUGAAAUGCGUAGAGAUCGGAAGGAACAUCUGUGGCGAAGGCGACUAUCUGGGCCAACACUGACGCUGAGGCACGAAAGCGUGGGGAGCAAACAGGAUUAGAUACCCCCGUAGUCCCUGUCUCUUAUAC
rnacentral:rRNA from 1 species